rnacentral:ncRNA from 2 species
AAGACAAAUAAAUAUUCGACUCGUAUAUGCUUGAUAAUAUGGUUCAAGCGUUUCUACCAGGAAGCCGUAAACUACCUGACUACGAGUAUAUGGUUCUUUAAA